UUCUGUGCCUACACCGCCCUGCAUGUGUCCGACCUCAGAAGCUAAAUAGGCUUGGGCCUGGUUAGUACCUGGAUGGGAGAAACUCAAGACUGCCAAAGAAU
rnacentral:rRNA from 1 species